UGGGGAAUUUUGGACAAUGGGCGCAAGCCUGAUCCAGCCAUGCCGCGUGCAGGAUGAAGGCCUUCGGGUUGUAAACUGCUUUUGUACGGAACGAAAAGUCUCUUUCUAAUAAAGAGGGACCAUGACGGUACCGUAAGAAUAAGCACCGGCUAACUACGUGCCAGCAGCCGCGGUAAUACGUAGGGUGCAAGCGUUAAUCGGAAUUACUGGGCGUAAAGCGUGCGCAGGCGGUUAUAUAAGACAGUUGUGAAAUCCCCGGGCUCAACCUGGGAACUGCAUCUGUGACUGUAUAGCUAGAGUACGGUAGAGGGGGAUGGAAUUCCGCGUGUAGCAGUGAAAUGCGUAGAUAUGCGGAGGAACACCGAUGGCGAAGGCAAUCCCCUGGACCUGUACUGACGCUCAUGCACGAAAGCGUGGGGAGCAAACAGGAUUAGAUACCCUGGUAGUCCACGCCCUAAACGAUGUCAACUGGUUGUUGGGUCUUCACUGACUCAGUAACGAAGCUAACGCGUGAAGUUGACCGCCUGGGGAGUACGGCCGCAAGGUUG
rnacentral:rRNA from 1 species